CCCUUAGAUGUCCUGGGCCGCACGCGCGCUACACUGACACACGCAACGAGUUUUGCUUGUCCGAAAGGUCUGGCUAAUCUUUUAAAUGUGUGUCGUGAUAGGGAUAGAUUAUUGCAAUUAUUAAUCUUGAACGAGGAAUUCCUAGUAAACGCAAGUCAUCAGCUUGCAUUGAUUACGUCCCUGCCCUUUGUACACACCGCCCGUCGCACCUACCGAUUGAAUGACUCGGUGAAAUCCCCGGACUGCAGCCUUGACACCCUCGGGUGACUCGGCAGUGGAAAGCGGAUUAAACCUCGCCAUUUAGAGGAAGGUGAAGUCGUAACA
rnacentral:rRNA from 1 species